rnacentral:rRNA from 1 species
ACGAACGCUGGCGGCGUGCCUAAUACAUGCAAGUAGAACGCUGAAGAGAGGAGCUUGCUCUUCUUGGAUGAGUUGCGAACGGGUGAGUAACGCGUAGGUAACCUGCCUUGUAGCGGGGGAUAACUAUUGGAAACGAUAGCUAAUACCGCAUAACAAUGGAUGACACAUGUCAUUUAUUUGAAAGGGGCAAUUGCUCCACUACAAGAUGGACCUGCGUUGUAUUAGCUAGUAGGUGAGGUAACGGCUCACCUAGGCGACGAUACAUAGCCGACCUGAGAGGGUGAUCGGCCACACUGGGACUGAGACACGGCCCAGACUCCUACGGGAGGCAGCAGUAGGGAAUCUUCGGCAAUGGGGGCAACCCUGACCGAGCAACGCCGCGUGAGUGAAGAAGGUUUUCGGAUCGUAAAGCUCUGUUGUAAGUCAAGAACGAGUGUGAGAGUGGAAAAUUCACACUGUGACGGUAGCUUACCAGAAAGGGACGGCUAACUACGUGCCAGCAGCCGCGGUAAUACGUAGGUCCCGAGCGUUGUCCGGAUUUAUUGGGCGUAAAGCGAGCGCAGGCGGUUUGAUAAGUCUGAAGUUAAAGGCUGUGGCUCAACCAUAGUUCGCUUUGGAAACUGUCAAACUUGAGUGCAGAAGGGGAGAGUGGAAUUCCAUGUGUAGCGGUGAAAUGCGUAGAUAUAUGGAGGAACACCGGUGGCGAAAGCGGCUCUCUGGUCUGUAACUGACGCUGAGGCUCGAAAGCGUGGGGAGCGAACAGGAUUGAUACCCUGGUAGUCCACGCCGUAAACGAUGAGUGCUAGGUGUUGGAUCCUUUCCGGGAUUCAGUGCCGCAGCUAACGCAUUAAGCACUCCGCCUGGGGAGUACGACCGCAAGGUUGAAACUCAAAGGAAUUGACGGGGGCCCGCACAAGCGGUGGAGCAUGUGGUUUAAUUCGAAGCAACGCGAAGAACCUUACCAGGUCUUGACAUCCCGAUGCUAUUUCUAGAGAUAGAAAGUUACUUCGGUACAUCGGUGACAGGUGGUGCAUGGUUGUCGUCAGCUCGUGUCGUGAGAUGUUGGGUUAAGUCCCGCAACGAGCGCAACCCCUAUUGUUAGUUGCCAUCAUUCAGUUGGGCACUCUAGCGAGACUGCCGGUAAUAAACCGGAGGAAGGUGGGGAUGACGUCAAAUCAUCAUGCCCCUUAUGACCUGGGCUACACACGUGCUACAAUGGUUGGUACAACGAGUUGCGAGUCGGUGACGGCAAGCUAAUCUCUUAAAGCCAAUCUCAGUUCGGAUUGUAGGCUGCAACUCGCCUACAUGAAGUCGGAAUCGCUAGUAAUCGCGGAUCAGCACGCCGCGGUGAAUACGUUCCCGGGCCUUGUACACACCGCCCGUCACACCACGAGAGUUUGUAACACCCGAAGUCGGUGAGGUAACCUUUUGGAGCCAGCCGCCUAAGGUGGGAUAGAUGAUUGGGGUG